rnacentral:rRNA from 1 species
CCUACGGGAGGCAGCAGUGAGGAAUAUUGGUCAAUGGGCGCGAGCCUGAACCAGCCAAGUAGCGUGAAGGAUGACUGCCCUACGGGUUGUAAACUUCUUUUAUAAAGGAAUAAAGUGAGGCACGUGUGCCUCUUUGAAUGUACUUUAUGAAUAAGGAUCGGCUAACUCCGUGCCAGCAGACGCGGUAAUACGGAGGAUCCGAGCGUUAGCCGGAUUUAAUGGGGUUAAAGGGAGCGUAGAUGGGUUGUUAAGUCAGUUGUGAAAGUUUGCGGCUCAACCGUAAAAUUGCAAUUGAAACUGGCAGCCUUGAGUGCAGUUGAGGUAGGCGGAAUUCGUGGUGUAGCGGUGAAAUGCUUAGAUAUCACGAAGAACUCCGAUUGCGAAGGCAGCUUACU